rnacentral:rRNA from 1 species
UGAGCAAUCUGCCCUUCUCUUUGGAAUAAGCGUGGAAAACCGCGUCUAAUGCCGAAUACGACCUCCUUUCGCAUGAUCGGAGGUGGAAAGCUCCGGCGGAGAAGGAUGAGCUCGCGGCCUAUCAGCUAGUUGGUGUGGGUAAUGGCCCACCAAGGCGACGACGGGUAGCCGGCCUGAGAGGGUGACCGGCCACACUGGGACUGAGACACGGCCCGGACUCCGUACGGGAGGCAGCAGG